UACGGAGGGUGCGAGCGUUAAUCGGAAUGACUGGGCGUAAAGCGUGCGUAGGUGGUAGCGUUAGUCGGCCGUGAAAGCCCUGGGCUUAACCUGGGAAUGGCGGUUGAAACGGCGCAACUUGAGUGGGUUAGAGGACUGUGGAACUCCUGGUGUAGCGGUGAAAUGCGUAGAGAUCAGGAAGAACACCGAUGGCGAAGGCAGCGGUCUGGGGCCACACUGACACUGAGGCACGAAAGCGUGGGGAGCAAACAGGAUUAGAAACCCUAGUAGUCC
rnacentral:rRNA from 1 species